AUGAACAUCGCCCUCUUAACCCGCUGGCUUUGGCGCAUCUCUCAAGGCCAAGAUGGCCUCUGGUUAGACAUCAUCCAGAAAAAAUACCUGCGCGGGCAACCCCUCGCAUUUUGUCAGAGAUCUGAUGGCUCCCAGUUCUGGCGGUCGGUCAUACAACUCCUUCGAGUCCUCCGCAUUGGGACCUCCAUUUCGGUUGGAUCUGGGGCGGCGACUCUGUUCUGGUUCGACCGGUGGGCGGGAGACUCUCCCUUCGCCGCGCGCUUCCCCGACCUCUUCUACAUUGCCGUUGAUCCUUGGAUCUCUGUAGGGAGGGCCCUUAUUGACUUAGGGCGCCUCGCCUUUCAGAGGCCAUUUGGUCCCCCGGAGGCUGCCGCCUGGCAUGAGAUGCUUGACUGCAUCGCCCUCCACGAGCCUGAGGUGGACGAUGGCCCGGACACAGUUCGGUGGCGACUUGAGCCGUCAGGCCAAUUCUCCACCAAGUCCCUCUACCGGGCCAUUGCCCCCUCCCCGCCUCCUCCCCUCAUGGCAGUUUGGUCCAUCCGCCUGCCGCUGAAGAUUCGGAUCUUCAUGUGGCAAUGGAUUCGCGGGCGGAUCCCAUCUGGGUGGAGGUUCGCAAGCGCAAUGGCCCGCGUAGUGGCCUUUGCCCGCUCUGUGAUGUCCCCGAAGACUCGAAUCACAUCUUCUUCUCUUGUGUGUCCGCUCAAUUUAUUUGGAGCUGCUUUAGAGAGGUGGUUGGCGGCAGUUGGUUCCAUACCAAUUUCCCCGACCUGUUCGCCGAACUCCAAAACUCCCCCGGCAUUCUCGCCACAUUAG
rnacentral:rRNA from 1 species